rnacentral:rRNA from 1 species
CGGGAUUGUGGUUAGUUUCCUUUAUUGGAAGUUAGUCGCGAGAACUUGUCUAAACCUUAUCAUUUAGAGGAAGGUGAAGUCGUAACAAGGUUUCCGUAGGUGAACCUGCGGAAGGAUCA